rnacentral:rRNA from 1 species
AAUAUUGGGCAAUGGGGGCAAACGCUGAUCCACCCAUAUCGCGUGGGUGAAGAAGGCCUUUGGGUUGUAAAACCCUUUUGUUGGGAAAGAAAUAUUUCCGGUUAAUACCAGGGGAGGAUGACGGUACCCAAAGAAUAAGCACCGGCUAAAUUUGUGCCAGCAGCCGCGGUAAUAUGAAGGGUGCAAGAGUUAUUAUGAAUUACUGGGCGUAAAGCGUGCGUACGUGGUGGUUUAAGUGUGAUGUGAAAACCCCGGGCUCUACCUGGGAAAUGCACUGGAUACUGGGUCACUAGAGUGUGGUAGAGGGGUGGGGAAUUUCGGUGUAUCACUGAAAUGUGUAGAGAUAUGAAGGAACAUCCGUGGGGAAAAGGCCAUCCUGGGCCCACACUGACACUGAGGCACGAAAGCGUGGGGAGCAAACACGAUUAGAUACCCCGGUAGAGCACGCCCUAAAAGAUGCGUCCUGGAUGUUGGGUGCAACUUGGCACCCAGUAUCGAAGCUAACGCGUAAGUCGCCGCC